rnacentral:lncRNA from 1 species
AGGGUAAAGGAACAGUACCAUUGCUGGAUAAUUGGAAAGUCUCUGUGUGUCAACCUUUGUGCUUCGUGGCAAGGUAGACUAGCAAACAUGCCCAACCUUUACUCACAUUUGAGACAACACUCCCAACAGGAUUGCUUGCUCCAAAAUCGAAGAGGCACCGCCCUCCGAAUCUCGAGAGCCAGACUCCCAACAUGAUUACUUCCUCAAAAAUCGAAGAGACACUGCUCUACGAAUCUCGAGAGCCAGACCCCCAGCAUGAUUG